AUGAGUUGAACGGUCUGUAAGGAGAGAGAGCUGCUGCUAGUUGCUGACAGAGAGAAAAGGAGGCGACUGGAAGAGCUUUAGAAGUCGCCGGAAAAUAGCAAGAGAUUGUUUGGUUUCUGAUUUAUGGGUGGUGGAUUUUUGGAAGGGUUUAGAGACAAGGUCGUGCUGAUAACGUGUUGUGAAUGAAGAGGGGAACUUGUGUGUAUUAUUAGGUCGACCAACUGGUCUUUAUAUACAUAUGGUAAUGACGGUCUAAGUACUGGAUCCACAUGAGAUCGUACUUAUCCUUAACUAGAUAAUGACUAGCAAUACGUAAGAUAAACACCAACUAUAAUGUAGAUAAACACAAGAGUAGAUAGACGCCAGUAUGAUCCUGCGGAUGGGCUUGGCCUGUCUUGCUACACGGGCUGAUAAAUGGGUCGAUCACUAAAUGGUUUAUAACAAUACUCUUUUAGUUGAAUUUAUAUUGACAACGGUAUCCAACUUUUUCUUUUAAACUAUUUUAUGCAAAUGUCGUAUAGUUUAUUUAGGGGUUUAUGACAGUUUAAUUUCAUAAAUAUUAAACUUUACUUUAAGACUAAUCAUAUUCUCUUUUCAGAUUUUCAUUUUGUUUGGACAUUCUUUUUCCAAAAUAGAACACCAAUCAAUUAUUGUUUGUAACUUCUAGAUAUUAUAAGCAAUUUAUAUGAUGACAGGUGCACCGAUCUACCUUUUCCUAAUAAAAUAGCAUGUGUAUACAAACAUAACCUGCAUAUUUGCAAGGAUGGAUUUUUGGCUUUUGGAGUGACGUGUUUUUUUUAAUGGCGUUACUAUCCCUAUCAUACUAUAUCGAAGCCUAAUAUGUAAUAUUUGCCAAAACCUUAUAUUCUCUUUAAUGAUUACGCGUGAUGAGAAAGACGACGCUUUAUCACUACAAUCGAUAAACUCUAAUGGAAGAAAUAUCUAUCUCAUCUCUAUCAAUCCUUUUGGUUUCUCCGUAGCACGUUUCCAUUUUCUCACAAUCUCUUCGAGUUCUCACCUCCUUGAUAUUUCUGCAACCGACGUUCGACGGGUCCUCUAAUCGGUCGGAAAAGGAAGAUGAUAGGUUCAUAUAUAUUUGACCCCAACACACAGAUGGAUUCAAUUUUUUCUCGCCAUGGUUCAUCUCCAAAUGGUGAUUUCGGUUCUGAAUUCUACAUCAGGAACUUCUCCGACCAUUUGCUUCGCAUCGAAAUCAUAGGUGGACCGUCAGAUUCUAAGUCUGAUGGUAAAGGUUGAACGAGAAUUCUCAUUCGCUAGACAUGACUCUCUCUCACCGACUCCGUAUCCCAGAUCCGUAAUAAUCUCGCCUACAUCAAGAUCGAAAGGGUCUAUAACGGGAGGGUCCAAAGGCUUGUGAAGUUCCAGUUUCCAGCAAAGAUCUCUAUAAAUACUGCAGAGAGGGCCAGACCAGUUUCAGCGAAGGUAUGUGUUUAUUUACUUAUCUAUGUGGCCGGAUACGUGUUAUAGUGACCGGUUAAGAUAAACAUUAUACGGCCAAGCAAUAUUAAUAAGUUCAUGUACGUUCUGUUUCAUGUCUAUUAUUGUACUGGUGGCAUUUUAGUUUUCAGCAAAGAUCUUACAGAUACUUCGAAGAGGACCAGGCCGAAAUUUAUAUCAAUAACAAGUUUUAGUUUAGCCGUUUUUAUCUAAAGAUAUUCGUCUCAGGUGCUAUCGGUUGUAAAGCAUAAAUUUGCAAUUAAUUAACUAUGCUUACAGUGUUAUAUCCGGCUAAAAAUCUUUUUAAUCAUAUGUGUUGAGAUUUGGUAAAGUUAA